AGUCAACAGGCCGAAUCUACACACACACCAGUGCAGCUGUUACACUGACUGUAUCAGGUAAACCCAGACUGAGAGUGGAUCCUCAGAGCUCAGUCUAUACUGGAGACACAGUUACUCUGACCUGUGAGACGCCGUCUCAGUCUGACUGGACCUUUUUCUGGAAGAAAGACUCUCAGGAUUUACAGCAUCAGCUGAACACAAUCAGUAUAACAGUGUCUAGUCCAGGAGAAGAAGAGUACCGGUGUGCAGUGAGCAGAGGAGUCUAUAACACACAGGACAGUGAUCCCAUCAGGAUUACAGUGAGGGAGAGACCAAAAGCUACAGUGAACGUCCAGCCAG